GAUGAACGCUGGCGGCGUGCUUAACACAUGCAAGUCGAACGAAGCAUUUUAACUUGAUUUCUUCGGAAUGAUUGUUACUUUGACUGAGUGGCGGACGGGUGAGUAACGCGUGGGUAACCUGCCUCAUACAGGGGGGAUAACAGUUAGAAAUGACUGCUAAUACCGCAUAAGCGCACGGUAUCGCAUGAUACAGUGUGAAAAACUCCGGUGGUAUGAGAUGGACCCGCGUCUGAUUAGCUAGUUGGUGGGUAACGGCCUACCGAAGGCGACGAUCAGUAGCCGACCUGAGAGGUGACCGGCCACGAUUGGGACUGAGACACGGCCCAAACUCCUACGGGAGGCAGCAGUGGGGAAUAUUGCACAAUGGGCGAAAGCCUGAUGCAGCGA
rnacentral:rRNA from 1 species